rnacentral:rRNA from 1 species
AAACUUUCAACAAUGGAUCUCUUGGUUCCGGCAUCGAUGAAGAACGCAGCGAACUGCGAUAAGUAAUGUGAAUUGCAGAAUUCAGUGAAUCAUCGAGUCCUUGAACGCACAUUGCGCCCCCUGGCAUUCCGGGGGGCAUGCCUGUCCGAGCGUCAUU